rnacentral:rRNA from 1 species
GAUGAACGCUGGCGGCGUGCCUAAUACAUGCAAGUCGAGCGAACAGAUGGGGAGCUUGCUCCCCUGACGUUAGCGGCGGACGGGUGAGUAACACGUGGAUAACCUACCUAUAAGACUGGGAUAACUUCGGGAAACCGGAGCUAAUACCGGAUAAUAUAUUGAACCGCAUGGUUCAAUAGUGAAAGACGGUUUUGCUGUCACUUAUAGAUGGAUCCGCGCCGCAUUAGCUAGUUGGUAAGGUAACGGCUUACCAAGGCAACGAUGCGUAGCCGACCUGAGAGGGUGAUCGGCCACACUGGAACUGAGACACGGUCCAGACUCCUACGGGAGGCAGCAGUAGGGAAUCUUCCGCAAUGGGCGAAAGCCUGACGGAGCAACGCCGCGUGAGUGAUGAAGGUCUUCGGAUCGUAAAACUCUGUUAUUAGGGAAGAACAAAUGUGUAAGUAACUAUGCACGUCUUGACGGUACCUAAUCAGAAAGCCACGGCUAACUACGUG